rnacentral:rRNA from 1 species
AGCAGCCGCGGUAAUUCCAGCUCCAAUAGCGUAUAUUAAAGUUGUUGCAGUUAAAAAGCUCGUAGUUGAAUUUCGGGAUUGGCGCAUCGGUCGUGCCUUACGGGGUAUGAACUGGUGCAGUCAAUUUCUCACCUUCUGGAGAACCGCGAUGUCCUUAAUUGGGUGCCGCGAGGAACCAGGACCUUUACUUUGAAAAAUUAGAGUGUUUAAAGCAGGCAUUUUUGCUUGAAUACAUUAGCAUGGAAUAAUAAAAUAGGACGGCAUGGUUCUAUUUUGUUGGUUUCUAGGACCACCGUAAUGAUUAAUAGGGAUAGUUGGGGGCAUUAGUAUUCAAUUGUCAGAGGUGAAAUUCUUGGAUUUAUUGAAGACUAACUACUGCGAAAGCAUUUGCCAAGGAUGUUUUCAUUAAUCAAGAACGAAAGUUAGGGGAUCGAAGACGAUCAGAUACCG